UACGGGGGGGGCAAGCGUUGUUCGGAAUUACUGGGCGUAAAGGGCGCGUAGGCGGCCAUCUAAGUCAGACGUGAAAUCCCUCGGCUCAACCGAGGAACUGCGUCUGAGACUGGCGAGCUUGAGUGCAGGAGAGGAACGCGGAAUUCCAGGUGUAGCGGUGAAAUGCGUAGAUAUCUGGAGGAACACCGGUGGCGAAGGCGGCGUUCUGGACUGCAACUGACACUGAAAGACGAAAGCCAGGGGAGCAAACGGG
rnacentral:rRNA from 1 species